CCGGGGCCCUGCAGAGGAAGGGGUGAUGAGGCACUGACCGGCUCCUCCAGGGUGACCACGCGCCAGGCUCCUCCGUCCAGGACCCAGUGAGGGGUGACUGGCUCUCCGGGGGAGUUUCCUGGUGUGAGGACAGAGCACAGGCCCCUGGCAGGAACCUCCAGGAAGAGGACGUGAACUCAUUGGAUCAUGGAGAGGAAUGUACCUGGAGCAAAAAGAAGGAUGCUGACGACAUUGUGUCUGUUCCCUAGGGCUAGGGAAGCAGAUGGGGGCACCUCUUCUUCCAGGGACCAGAUCUGGCACAAGAUGUCUGCUCAGGCAACCCCACUGCCUGGCAUGCCCUCUCCCUAGGGACCAUCAAAUCUUCUUGUUUUCCUCAGUCUUAAUGUUUGAGGAGGACUGCCUCCUCUAGGAAACCCAUGGCCAUGGCUUUCCCUUCAGCAGAUUGGCACUGAAAUAGAAUUUGCCCUGCUAGCAGCAUUCUUAUCAUUGU